rnacentral:rRNA from 2 species
AAAUUGAAGAGUUUGAUCAUGGCUCAGAUUGAACGCUGGCGGCAGGCCUAACACAUGCAAGUCGAACGGUAACAGGAAGCAGCUUGCUGCUUUGCUGACGAGUGGCGGACGGGUGAGUAAUGUCUGGGAAACUGCCUGAUGGAGGGGGAUAACUACUGGAAACGGUGGCUAAUACCGCAUAACGUCGCAAGACCAAAGAGGGGGACCUUCGGGCCUCUUGCCAUCAGAUGUGCCCAGAUGGGAUUAGCUUGUUGGUAAGGUAACGGCUCACCAAGGCGACGAUCCCUAGCUGGUCUGAGAGGAUGACCAGCCACACUGGAACUGAGACACGGUCCAGACUCCUACGGGAGGCAGCAGUGGGGAAUAUUGCACAAUGGGCGCAAGCCUGAUGCAGCCAUGCCGCGUGUAUGAAGAAGGCCUUCGGGUUGUAAAGUACUUUCAGCGGGGAGGAAGGUGUUG